AUAAGAUAAAAGGAGCAGAAAGACACUGUUAAGGUCCCUUGUUGCCUUUGCUACCUUGUGCGUCCAUGCUGUUUGUCCUCUGUGAUGCCUGUUCACCAUCCCUUCCUCGGAGCCAGCUGAUUAUGGACUGAAACCUCUGUGAAUUGACCAAGAAAGAAAAAGAAAUGAAACCUCAGCAACUCCAGCCUAUUUGUAUCUGCUGAAGAGAUGACACAUUAACUGCACAUGUUCCUUCAUGGAAGAAGACCUCUUUCAUAUAACCAGAGAAUAUGGUCGCAUGCAGCUGCAACAUCCUUGUGAUGGAAAAGUUAGUGUUUAAAUUUUUCAAAAAGACUAUUUUCUGAACUAAAUCAUCUUGAGUUUCUUACUUUCCUUCACCC
ensembl:lncRNA